rnacentral:rRNA from 1 species
AGUGAACGCUGGCGGUAGGCCUAACAUAUGCAAGUCGAACGGCAGCACAGUAAGAGCUUGCUCUUACGGGUGGCGAGUGGCGGACGGGUGAGGAAUACAUCGGAAUCUACUUUUUCGUGGGGGAUAACGUAGGGAAACUUACGCUAAUACCGCAUACGACCUACGGGUGAAAGCAGGGGAUCUUCGGACCUUGCGCGAUUGAAUGAGCCGAUGUCGGAUUAGCUAGUUGGCGGGGUAAAGGCCCACCAAGGCGACGAUCCGUAGCUGGUCUGAGAGGAUGAUCAGCCACACUGGAACGGAGACACGGUCCAGACCCCUACGGGAGGCAGCAGUGUGGAAUAUUGGACAAUGGGCGCAAGCCUGAUCCAGCCAUACCGCGUGGGUGAAGAAGGCCUUCGGGUUGUAAAGCCCUUUUGUUGGGAAAGAAAAGCAGCAGGUUAAUACCCCGCUGUUCUGACGGUACCCAAAGAAUAAGCACCGGCUAACUUCGUG